AUACGUAGGGGGCGAGCGUUGUCCGAAGUUACUGGGCGUAAAGCGCGCGUAGGCGGCUCUUUAAGUGAUUGGUGAAAUCCCCGGGCUCAACCCGGGGUGGUCUGGUCAUACUGGGGAGCUAGAGUAUGGGAGGGGAGAGCGGAACUCCUGGUGUAGCGGUGAUAUGCGUAGAGAUCAGGAAGAACACCCGUGGCGAAGGCGGCUCUCUGGACCAUAACUGACGCUGAGGUGCGAAAGCCAGGGUAGCGAACGGGAUUAGAUACCCCGGUAGUCCUGGCCCUAAACGAUGGAUACUAGGUGUGGCGGGUAUCGACCCCUGCCGCGCCGCAGCUAACGCAAUAAGUAUCCCGCCUGGGGAGUACGGUCGCAAGAUUAAA
rnacentral:rRNA from 1 species